rnacentral:rRNA from 1 species
UACGUAGGGUGCAAGCGUUGUCCGGAAUUAUUGGGCGUAAAGAGCUCGUAGGCGGUGUGUCGCGUCUGCUGUGAAAACUCAGGGCUCAACUCUGAGCUUGCAGUGGGUACGGGCACACUUGAGUGCUGUAGGGGAGACUGGAAUUCCUGGUGUAGCGGUGAAAUGCGUAGAUAUCGGGAGGAACACCAGUGGCGAAGGCGAUCACCUGGGGUUGUUCUGACGCUGAGGAGCGAAAGCUAGGGGAGCAAACGGG